rnacentral:tRNA from 1 species
GCGGUUGUAGCUCAAGGGGGUAGAGCAGCCGGCUCUUAACCGGCAGGCCAGGGUUCGAUGCCCUGCGACCGCA